rnacentral:rRNA from 1 species
ACGCACGCUGGCGGCGUGCUUCACACAUGCAAGUCGAACGGAAAGGCCCUGCUUUUGUGGGGUGCUCGAGUGGCGAACGGGUGAGUAACACGUGAGUAACCUGCCCUUGACUUUGGGAUAACUUCAGGAAACUGGGGCUAAUACCGGAUAGGAGCUCCUGCUGCAUGGUGGGGGUUGGAAAGUUUCGGCGGUUGGGGAUGGACUCGCGGCUUAUCAGCUUGUUGGUGGGGUAGUGGCUUACCAAGGCUUUGACGGGUAGCCGGCCUGAGAGGGUGACCGGCCACAUUGGGACGGAGAUACGGCCCAGACUCCUACGGGAGGCAGCAGUGGGGAAUAUUGCACAAUGGGCGGAAGCCUGAUGCAGCAACGCCGCGUGCGGGAGGACGGCCUUCGGGUUGGAAACCGCUUUCGCCUGUGACGAAGCGUGAGUGACGGUAAUGGGUAAAGAAGCACCGGCUAACUACGU